rnacentral:misc_RNA from 1 species
GAUGAAGAACGUAGCGAAAUGCGAUAAGUAGUGUGAAUUGCAGAAUUCAGUGAAUCAUCGAAUCUUUGAACGCACAUUGCGCCCCUUGGUAUUCCAUGGGGCAUGCCUGUUCGAGCGUCAUUUGUACCUUCAAGCUCUGCUUGGUGUUGGGUGUUUGUCUCGCCUCUGCGUGUAGACUCGCCUCAAAACAAUUGGCAGCCGGCGUAUUGAUUUCGGAGCGCAGUACAUCUCGCGCUUUGCACUCAUAACGACGACGUCCAAAAGUACAUUUUUACACUCUUGACCUCGGAUCAGGUAGGGAUACCCGCUGAACAUAAGCAUAUCAAUAAGCGGAGGA